AAAUCUUUUGGGGUUUUUGUGUCUUAGCAGCGAGGUGACUGGUUUGUUGCAGUUCUGCUGAAAUUUAAAAAUCGUCUUUUUUCUACAUUUUCUCUGUUUAAGCUCCUGGAGGUUUGUUUGGUGAUGGGUGUUACUGCAGUCCUGUCAGUGAACAUGGUAACAGCCAUCAUGUUACUGACUGUCUUCUCUCUUUCAGCUGGUUAAAGUCAAGAUGCUUCAACAAACAGGUGAAGGUGAGUUACUAGAUGAGGACAGGUUCAUCAUUC